rnacentral:rRNA from 1 species
CUUGKCGACCAUAGCGCUUUGGACCCACCUGACUCCAUGCCGAACUCAGUAGUGAAACGAAGCAGCGCCGAUGGUAGUGUGGGGUUUCCCCAUGUGAGAGUAGGACAUCGCCAGGC